GCUGUGAAGUCUUCACAACUGGUGCAGCAUUGUCUCCUAAAAACAAUCAUGUAAUCUUGGAACGGGAUUCUUCCCACUGAGAUAUCAGGAAGACUUGGUCUCUGCCAUUAUCUACAUCUGGAUUCUUGACAUGAGGAACUAGCUUAUUACAUUAACCACCAUGUUACUCUGAAUGAAGAAACAAAGAGUACAAAAUGUCCAAUCUGCAUGUUCAGCAAUUUUUCCAGUGACCCAAGAGAAGGGAUCACAGGUUUUUGGUCACAGUGAUGCAAAAGCUUAUCGAAAUGAUGAGAUGCUUCUUUAUCCUGGUGGAUGUCCUCAUGCCACUAUGUCUCACCCAUGUCAAGAUUCAUUCACGUAGGAAACUUACUUUACAUAACAGAUACACUUUUGGC
rnacentral:lncRNA from 1 species